CCUACGGGCGGCAGCAGUGAGGAAUAUUGGUCAAUGGGCGCUAGCCUGAACCAGCCAAGUAGCGUGAAGGAUGACUGCCCUAUGGGUUGUAAACUUCUUUUAUAUGGGAAUAAAGUGCAGUAUGUAUACUGCUUUGCAUGUACCUUAUGAAUAAGGAUCGGCUAACUCCGUGCCAGCAGCCGCGGUAAUACGGAGGAUUCGAGCGUUAUCCGGAUUUAUUGGGUUUAAAGGGAGCGUAGGCGGGUUGUUAAGUCAGUUGUGAAAGUUUGCGGCUCAACCGUAAAAUUGCAGUUGAUACUGGCAGCCUUGAGUACAGUAGAGGUAGGCGGAAGUCGUGGUGUAGCGGUGAAAUGCUUAGAUAUCACGAAGAACUCCGAUUGCGAAGGCAGCCUGCUGGACUGUAACUGACGCUGAUGCUCGAAAGUGUGGGUAUCAAACAGGAUUAGAGACCCUUGUAGUC
rnacentral:rRNA from 1 species